rnacentral:rRNA from 1 species
CAGAGUGAACGCUGGCGGUAGGCCUAACACAUGCAAGUCGAACGGCAGCACAGUAAGAGCUUGCUCUUAUGGGUGGCGAGUGGCGGACGGGUGAGGAAUACAUCGGAAUCUACCUUUUCGUGGGGGAUAACGUAGGGAAACUUACGCUAAUACCGCAUACGACCUUCGGGUGAAAGCAGGGGACCUUCGGGCCUUGCGCGGAUAGAUGAGCCGAUGUCGGAUUAGCUAGUUGGCGGGGUAAAGGCCCACCAAGGCGACGAUCCGUAGCUGGUCUGAGAGGAUGAUCAGCCACACUGGAACUGAGACACGGUCCAGACUCCUACGGGAGGCAGCAGUGGGGAAUAUUGGACAAUGGGCGCAAGCCUGAUCCAGCCAUACCGCGUGGGUGAAGAAGGCCUUCGGGUUGUAAAGCCCUUUUGUUGGGAAAGAAAAGCAGUCAGCUAAUACCCGGUUGUUCUGACGGUACCCAAAGAAUAAGCACCGGCUAACUUCGUGCCAGCAG